UACGAAGGGGGCGAGCGUUGUUCGGAUUUACUGGGCGUAAAGGGCGCGUAGGCGGCCGCCUAAGUCAGACGUGAAAUCCCUCGGCUCAACCGGGGAACUGCGUCUGAUACUGGGUGGCUUGAAUCCGGGAGAGGGAUGCGGAAUUCCAGGUGUAGCGGUGAAAUGCGUAGAUAUCUGGAGGAACACCGGUGGUGUAGACGGCUUACUGGACCACGACUGACACUGAGGCACGAAAGCGUGGGUAGCAAACAGG
rnacentral:rRNA from 1 species